rnacentral:rRNA from 1 species
AUGAACGCUGGCGGCGUGCCUCAUACAUGCAAGUCGAGCGAACGGACGAGAAGCUUGCUUCUCUGAUGUUAGCGGCGGACGGGUGAGUAACACGUGGAUAACCUACCUAUAAGACUGGGAUAACUUCGGGAAACCGGAGCUAAUACCGGAUAAUAUUUUGAACCGCAUGGUUCAAAAGUGAAAGACGGUCUUGCUGUCACUUAUAGAUGGAUCCGCGCUGCAUUAGCUAGUUGGUAAGGUAACGGCUUACCAAGGCAACGAUGCAUAGCCGACCUGAGAGGGUGAUCGGCCACCCUGGAACUGAGACCCGGUCCAGACCCCUACGGGAGGCAGCAGUAGGGAAUUUUCCGAAAUGGGCGAAAGCCGGACGGAGCAACGCCGCGUGAGUGAUGAAGGUCUUGGGAUCGUAAAACUCUUUUAUUAGGGAAAAAAAUAUGUGUAAGUAACUGGGCACAUUUUGACGGUACCUAAACAAAAAGCCACGGCUAACUACGU